AAAAAACAUGGCUUUACGCUUUAAAAUCAUGUAAAGUCGGACCUGCCCAGUGAGCAUUUUCAACGGCCGCGGUACUCUGACCGUGCAAAGGUAGCAUAAUCAUUUGCCUUAUAAUUAAAGGCUAGAAUGAAUGGUUUGACGAAAAUAUAGCUGUCUCUUUAUAAUUUGAUAGAAUUUUAUUUUGGGAUGAAAAAGUCCUAGUAUAAUUAAAAGACAAGAAGACCCUAUCGAGCUUUAAAAAAAUUAGUAAAAUUAAAUUAAUUUGUUUAAAAAAUCAAUUACUAAAAAUUUUGGUUGGGGCAACCAAGGAGAAUUCAAAGCCUCCUUUACAAAAAAGGCUUACCAGCUUUGAUCCAAUAAUAUUGAUUAAAGAAAUUAGUUACCGUAGGGAUAACAGCAUUAUCUUUUUUAAGAGUUCAUAUCGAAAAAAAGGUUUGUGACCUCGAUGUUGGACCAGAAUAUCCUAAAGGUGCAGAAGCCUUUAAAGGUUGGUCUGUUCGACCAUUAAAAUUCUACGUGAUCUGAGUCAAAACC
rnacentral:rRNA from 1 species